AGUACAGAUUUAUCGAAUUAUCUGAAGGGGAACUGGUCGCAGGAGCUGGAAAGGUUGCAGACGAAGCUGCAGAUACAGAUCCUGAACCUUAAUGGAACCAGAGUGGAACCAGUGACUCUUGGAGACUUCACCUCUUGGCUUACCUCUGCAUUUUUCUUACUUCAAAGAAUGGGUGGGGGUGGCUCUGUUUGGCACAGCCCUGUGUUGUGGAUUAGUGUUCAUGCUAUGAUUGGUUUGCAAACUCAGAUCUCAACAUAAACGUGACAAGGUCGCGAUCACUCAAGCA
rnacentral:lncRNA from 1 species